UCAAGUGACUAAGCGCAUACGGUGGAUGCCUUGGCAGUCAGAGGCGAUGAAGGACGUUGUAGCCUGCGAAAAGCUUCGGGGAGUCGGCAAACAGACUUUGAUCCGGAGAUAUCCGAAUGGGGAAACCCACCCAGUGUAAGCUGGGUAUCUUUAACUGAAUACAUAGGUUAGAGAAGCGAACGAGGGGAACUGAAACAUCUAAGUACCCUUAGGAAGAGAAAUCAAUUGAGAUUCCCUUAGUAGCGGCGAGCGAACGGGGAAGAGCCUGCAAGUAAUAGCAAGAAUGUUAGUGGAACGGUCUGGAAAGUCCGGCGAUAGAGGGUGAUAGCCCCGUACACGAAAACGUUUUUGUGGUACUGAGCUUGCGAGAAGUAGGUCGGGACACGUGUUAUCUUGACUGAAGACGGGGGGACCAUCCUCCAAGGCUAAAUACUCCUGACUGACCGAUAGUGAACCAGUACCGUGAGGGAAAGGCGAAAAGAACCCCGGAGAGGGGAGUGAAAUAGAACCUGAAACCGUUUGCGUACAAGCAGUGGGAGCCCAGCACCUAAAUUUUUUUAGGUUUUGGUUUUUGUUGGCUUUAGUGAGUUGUUUUAUAAAUAUUGACGUUAUUCUGCUUAGGUGGAAUUCAGGUACUGGGUAAGCCCGGUGCGUCAAACGCAUUGAGAAUGCGUUGUUCCAAUUUUGAAGAAUAGGGGGUGGGCUUGCCCAGCCUUAAAUUUCUCAAAGAGAAGCGUCAGUUUAGUAUUUAGAGCACAGCCAAGUAAGAAAGCAAAGUCAAAAUAGCCAAGAAAAUUUAGGGCUGGGUGACUGCGUACCUUUUGUAUAAUGGGUCAGCGACUUAUUGUCAGUAGCGAGCUUAACCGUUUAGGGGAGGCGUAGGGAAACCGAGUCUUAAUAGGGCGCAUAGUUGCUGGCAAUAGACCCGAAACCGGGCGAUCUAUCCAUGGCCAGGUUGAAGGUGCCGUAACAGGCACUGGAGGACCGAACCCACUUAUGUUGAAAAAUGAGGGGAUGAGCUGUGGAUCGGAGUGAAGAGCACUGUUUCGGCUAGGGGGUCAUCCCGACUUACCAACCCGAUGCAAACUCCGAAUACCCAGGAGUACAAUCACGGCAGACAGACGGCGGGUGCUAACGUCCGUCGUCGAGAGGGCAACAACCCAGACCGCCAGCUAAGGUCCCAAAUACCAGUUAAGUGGGAAACGAUGUGGGAAGGCUUAGACAGCUAGGAGGUUGGCUUAGAAGCAGCCAUCCUUUAAAGAAAGCGUAAUAGCUCACUAGUCGAGUCGGCCUGCGCGGAAGAUGUAACGGGGCUAAACUGGUAACCGAAGCUGCGGGUUCAGAGGACUGAAUACAGAGGACAGAGGGCAGAUAGAAUGUGUUUUUAUCUGUCUUCAGUCUUCUGUCUUCAGUCUUCUGAACGGUAGAGGAGCGUUCUGUAAGCCGUUGAAGGUGAACCGGGAGGUUUGCUGGAGGUAUCAGAAGUGCGAAUGCUGACAUGAGUAACGAUAAGGGGGGUGAAAAACCUCCCCGCCGGAAGAUCAAGGUUUCCUGCGCAACGCUAAUCGGCGCAGGGUUAGUCGGCCCCUAAGGCGAGGCAGAAAUGCGUAGUCGAUGGGAAACAGGUUAACAUUCCUGUACUUUUUUAUAUUGCGAUGGGGGGACGGAGAAGGCUAAGCCAUCAGGGCGUUGGUUGUCCCUGUUUAAGGUUGUAGGCUGAGAGUUUAGGUAAAUCCGGACUCUUAAGGCCGAGAGCUGAUGACGAGUUCAAAGCGAGAGCUGCGAGCGAAGUGGUUGAUGCCAUGCUUCCAGGAAAAUCCUCUAAGCUUCAGAUAUAAAGGAACCGUACUGUAAACCGACACAGGUGAUCAGGUAGAGAAUACCAAGGCGCUUGAGAGAACUCGGGUGAAGGAACUAGGCAAAAUGGGUGAUGAGACUUGCUCUCUAAGCUCUGGGUGGUCGAAGUGACCAGGUGGCUGCGACUGUUUAUUAAAAACAUAGCACUCUGCAAACACGUAAGUGGACGUAUAGGGUGUGACGCCUGCCCGGUGCCGGAAGGUUAAUUGAUGGGGUUAGUUGAAGUAUUUUUUAUUCUUUUAUCAGCGAGUUUGCGUUUGGUAUCUGAUUUCUAUUAAGGAAUUCAGGUGCUGGGCAAGCCCGGCUGGUUUUUAUAAGAUUAAUUAUGUUUUAUGUUUACUGUAUUCAGUCUUUGGAUGAUGAAAAUCGAUUUUAUAUUGGCAGUCGCAAUGACUUAAGACGCCGUCUUAAGCAGCACAAUGACAAUGAAAACCGAUCUACUAAAAAUCAUCAAUGGCGUGUGGUUUAUUACGAAGCGUAUGUGACCGAACACGCUGCCAGAGUCAGAGAGCAAAAACUAAAACAACACGGAAAUACAAAACAGGCAUUAAUGCGAAGAAUAAAAGCAAGCCUACAGUAAUGACUGUGGGACUUGUCCAGCUCUAAAUUUCCAUGCAAAGAGAUUUGGAGUGGCGGUAAGAAUGAGCUUUUAUAGAAUCGCUGGCAUUAAUGCGAAGAAUAAAAGCAAGCCUACAGCAAUGAUUGUGGGGCUUGCCCAGCUCUAAAUUUCCAUGCAAAGAAAUUUGGAGUGGCGGUAAGAAUAUGCUUUUAUAGAAUCGCAAGCAUUAGUAAAAGAGAAAAUUUAGGGCUGGGGAAGCUCUUGAUCGAAGCCCCGGUAAACGGCGGCCGUAACUAUAACGGUCCUAAGGUAGCGAAAUUCCUUGUCGG
rnacentral:rRNA from 1 species